GGACCACAGCUUAGUGGUAGAGCAUCUGUCUUGAAUGUAGAAGGUCCCAGGUUCAACCCACGGCAUCUCCA